rnacentral:other from 1 species
UAUCUCCUGCAGUAUUCGAGAGUGUGCUGGGUGUUUCCUGAACCUGUUUUUACCCCGGGGACGAAAUCCGCUAUUGGUGUGUAAGCCUGUUUUAUACGGGAAACCUAAUUUAACGGUUACGUGCCCACUUGAACCUCCGGUUCAAGGACGAAAGCAUAUAACGAUACAGGUGGGAGAUGC